AGCAGAAGAGUGAGGAACAGUCCACCACAUCCACCGUUCUCACCGGCUGCAUCUCCAACAGCCCAUAAAUCACACUCUCACACCUCAGGUUUUCACACAAGAGUCCACCAGAGUCAUGAAGACUGAAGAGAAGUUAAAAGAAGAGCAGAAAUCAGGAGCAGAAAGCACUAGAAGGAAGAUGCGUUAUGAAAACUAUACAGCAGAGGGCGCAGUUACUCCAGAGCCUUUGUAGACGAUCAGCACUGUCA